rnacentral:rRNA from 1 species
GAACGAACGCUGGCGGCGCGUUUAAGCAUGCAAGUCGAGCGGCAAGGGCCUUCGGGCCCCUAGAGCGGCGGACGGGUGAGUAACACGUGGACAAUCUGCCCCCCGGCCCGGGAUAGCCCAGGGAAACCUGGAUUAAUACCGGAUGAGACGGGACCCGCGAUGGCGGGACCCGGGAAAGGCGCUGCGGCGCCGCCGGGGGAUGAGUCUGCGUCCCAUUAGCUAGACGGCGGGGUAACGGCCCACCGUGGCGACGAUGGGUAGCCGGCCUGAGAGGGUGGACGGCCACAUUGGAACUGAGACACGGUCCAGACUCCUACGGGAGGCAGCAGCUAAGAAUCUUCCGCAAUGGGCGAAAGCCUGAACCGGAGCGACGCCGCGUGAACGAAGAAGGCCGUGAGGUUGUAAAGUUCUUUUCGGGAGGGGAACAACCGUGGCAGGGAAUGGCCGCGGGAUGACGUGAACCCCGGAAUAAGCCCCGGCUAACUACGUGCCAGCCGCCGC